UUAAACUAUAAGCUGAAGAAGUGCUAAUCUCCCGAAGAAAGAAGAGCUAAUUAAAGAAAUAUUUAUUGGAAAUAUUUAUUUAGGAGCAGUGUUGCAUAACUGUAGAACUUCUAUCUUUAGUUAGGGGUGAAAGGCUAAUCAAUUCUUUCUGAUAUCUGGUAUUAACUGAAAUAUAUUUAGUAGUUUUAAGGCAAAUUCAAAGGGCUAAGCUUUUGAGUAAGUAAAAAAAGGUAAAUUAUCUCUUAAUUCUGCUUUACUAAUAUAAAGCAGAUUAGGCUAAAUUAAUAAUUAAUCAUACCAAAAAUUUUAGGAUUAUAUUCUAGGUUAAAAUUUAAGUGCUAAAGAAUUUUAUAUUAAAAUUUAUAAUGUUUAAAUAAGUAUAAUUCUAAAUUAAAAAGACAUAAGGAACUUGGCAAAUAUUAUCUUCAACUGUUUAUCAAAAACAUAGCUGAUUGCCUAUUAUAAUAAUUAGUUUGCUCUGCCCGGUGGUAUUACUUAACGGCCGCAGUACACUGACUGUGCAAAGGUAGCAUAAUAAAUUGGCUUUUAAUUGGAGUCGGGUAUGAAAGAGUGCAUGGGGAUAUGCUGUCUUAUUAACUUCUAAGUAAAAAUUACUAAGCAAGUGAAAAUUCUUGCAGAAUUUUCUAUUAGACGAGAAGACCCUAUAAAUUUUAACUAAUAUAGUAAAUUUAUUUAUGAAUCGUUUUUGUUGGGGCAACAUAUUAACAGUAUUAAUAAAAAUUAAUAAAUUACUACUUAAUUUAAUAGGUCGAGUUUAUACUAAAUAUAAAUAAAUUACUAUAGGGAUAACAGCAUAAUUUUAUAAUUAAGAUUGUGACCUCGAUGUUGGAUUAGGAAACUAUUGAGUUAAAAACUCAUUAGUUUGGUUCUGUUCGAACUUAAUCUCCU
rnacentral:rRNA from 1 species